UACGUAGGGUGCGAGCGUUGUCCGGAAUUACUGGGCGUAAAGAGCUCGUAGGUGGUUUGUCGCGUUGUUCGUGAAAUCUCACGGCUUAACUGUGAGCGUGCGGGCGAUACGGGCAGACUUGAGUACUGCAGGGGAGACUGGAAUUCCUGGUGUAGCGGUGGAAUGCGCAGAUAUCAGGAGGAACACCGGUGGCGAAGGCGGGUCUCUGGGCAGUAACUGACGCUGAGGAGCGAAAGCGUGGGUAGCGAACAGG
rnacentral:rRNA from 1 species